GAAAGUAUAGCCAUAGAGGGUGAUAGUCCCGUAUGCGAAAAACAAACCUUAGCUAGCAGUAUCCUGAGUAGGGCGGGACACGAGAAAUCCUGUCUGAAGCUGGGUCGACCACGAUCCAACCCUAAAUACUAAUACCAGAUCGAUAGUGCACAAGUACCGUGAGGGAAAGGUGAAAAGAACUGAGGUGAUCAGAGUGAAAUAGAACCUGAAACCAUUUGCUUACAAUCAUUCAGAGCCCUAUGUAGCAAUACAGGGUGAUGGACUGCCUUUUGCAUAAUGAGCCUGCGAGUUGUGGUGUCUGGCAAGGUUAAGCAAACGCGAAGCCGUAGCGAAAGCGAGUCUGAAUAGGGCGCUUAGUCAGAUGCUGCAGACCCGAAACGAAGUGAUCUAUCCAUGAGCAAGUUGAAGCUAGUGUAAGAACUAGUGGAGGACUGAACCCAUAGGCGUUGAAAAGCCCCGGGAUGACUUGUGGAUAGGGGUGAAAGGCCAAUCAAACUUCGUGAUAGCUGGUUCUCUCCGAAAUAUAUUUAGGUAUAGCGUUGUGUCGUAAUAUAAGGGGGUAGAGCACUGAAUGGGCUAGGGCAUACACCAAUGUACCAAACCCUAUCAAACUCCGAAUACCUUAUAUGUAAUCACAGCAGUCAGGCGGCGAGUGAUAAAAUCCGUCGUCAAGAGGGAAACAACCCAGACUACCAGCUAAGGUCCCUAAAUCUUACUUAAGUGGAAAACGAUGUGAAGUUACUUAAACAACCAGGAGGUUGGCUUAGAAGCAGCCAUCCUUUAAAGAAAGCGUAAUAGCUCACUGGUCUAGUGAUUUUGCGCGGAAAAUAUAACGGGGCUAAAGUAAGUACCGAAGCUGUAGACUUGCGCACAACUUAGAUUAUUUAAGUUUAGAAUAUGAGAAACUAAGUUAUAUGUUUAGUUAUAUUUUUACUGAUUUUUAUAGAGUAAAGAUAGAAAUAAAACUUAGUAAAAUCAGUAAAAAUAUUCUUAGAUUAAAGUUAAGUAGUUUAAGUUGUGUGCAAGUGGUAGGAGAGCGUUCUAUUUGCGUCGAAGGUAUACCGGUAAGGAGUGCUGGAGCGAAUAGAAGUGAGCAUGCAGGCAUGAGUAGCGAUAAUUAAUGUGAGAAUCAUUAACGCCGUAAACCCAAGGUUUCCUACGCGAUGCUCGUCAUCGUAGGGUUAGUCGGGUCCUAAGUCGAGUCCGAAAGGGGUAGACGAUGGCAAAUUGGUUAAUAUUCCAAUACCAACAUUAGUGUGCGAUGGAAGGACGCUUAGGGCUAAGGGGGCUAGCGGAUGGAAGUGCUAGUCUAAGGUCGUAGGAGGUUAUACAGGCAAAUCCGUAUAACAAUACUCCGAGAACUGAAAGGCUUUUUGAAGUCUUCGGAUGGAUAGAAGAACCCCUGAUGCCGUCGAGCCAAGAAAAGUUUCUAAGUUUAGCUAAUGUUGCCCGUACCGUAAACCGACACAGGUGGGUGGGAUGAGUAUUCUAAGGCGCGUGGAAGAACUCUCUUUAAGGAACUCUGCAAAAUAGCACCGUA
rnacentral:rRNA from 1 species